AUGAAUCCAACCGAAUUGACAACAAGCAGCUACUGGAACAAGGUAAAACAAAAUAAUAUGCAGCAAGGGUAAAAGGGUUCAGAAAUAGGACUUUCUCUUUUUAGUGAUUUUCUUGUAAGCAAACAGACAAGUAACACUAGCACAUGGAAGAUGGUUCAGACAUCACACACAACGCAUGCAACCAAUUAAAGUGACAGCAGCUCACAAGAGAAUAACUACUAACUUAAUAUCCAGCAAAGGAUCACAACAAUUCAGCAAGGAUACAUGAGGGUUCAGCAAAGGUGCACAUGUAACAGAGUAAAUUUCAGACCCAACAGUGCAUAUACUCAGAGAACAGGAACAACAGAAGAGAGAAGUUCAGAGCCUAUGGGUCUUGAUGAUCUUCGAUUCGAAGUUGUAGAUGUUGCAGGCGAAGAAGAGUAGCAGAGGCACAUUGGAGACGAUCUGUAGCAGCAGAAACUUCUGCGUGGAAGUUGAAGAAGAGUAGCGGAGGAGGAUCCUUGGGGAUGAGCUGCAGCGUGGUGAAGAGGACUUGGUGAAGAUCAGCAGCGGAGGGCCCGACCUUGGGGAGGAAUCGUGGUGGCCUUCGCGGGAGGUCAGCCGACCACCCGAAGCAGAGAACCACCUGGUGUCUGGCGCCCCGCAGGAGAUGCCGCAGUGGCGGUCGUCGGAGUUGAAGCAGAGCGGCGCGGGCGUCGAUGUUGGAGCAGAGCGGUACGGGCGUAGGUGUUGGAGAUGAGCAGCAGCAGUCGGUCAGGAUGGAGAAGCCUCGCAGCAGAACACCGAGAAGUCGUUGGAGAGGAUCAACAGCUCCGUUUCUUGAGGUUGGGGAUGAGGAAGUACAGCGGGUCGACGUCGUCGUUGAAGAGGAGUAGUGGAUUCGAUCUGGUUCUCCUUCUCGCUUCCCUCGAUCCCCUUUUCUCCCUCCUCCGAUCUGGUGUUCCUUUGGUUCGAUCUGGUGGUAGGUGAGCAGCGUGGAGAGCGAGAGCAGUUAGCCCCCUGGUUGUUUUUCCUUCGACCCCCACUCCUCUUCUUGGUGGUUCAGUCGUGCGUGGGAUCAGACACC
rnacentral:rRNA from 1 species